rnacentral:misc_RNA from 1 species
AAAACGUGUGUUGACUUCAGUCAUCGAUUUCGCGUAUUUUCAUUGCAAAGAUGCCCAGGAAAAAGAAAGUUUUCAUCGGCAGUCGCAGGAAGGGCUACUCAAAGUGGGGUCCGAGACAACAAGGUGUCAGUUCUUCCUCUCUCUCUGACAUUCUUAUUCAUCAGUUCAAUCAACUGUUCUCGAUGAUUGCAGGUAAGUAAUAAUAGAAUUCAAGAGAUGCACUGUGGGACAAAGCAUGGAAGUCAUUCUUCAUUGACCUCAUCGAUGAACCCACAGAUACCCCAUGCCUGGAAGAAGCGACAGAUUCUGAUGGUUGUUCGGCUGAUGAAUUCUUUGGGUUUAUUUGACACAAUUCACCAGUAUCAUCCGGACAACAAUGUAGAUGAAUUUGUUGAUGGCAUCCUGCGAUACCAGCAAUAUGUAACAUUAAAAAGGGAGCUGUUUCAGCAUGUAGAUGAGCUAGGCAAUUUUAAAAUUGCAAGAAACAAGCGUGAAAACAUUACUAUUGUGCAGUUUUAUGACUGACGUAGGCUCAGUCCGGCUUUCAGUAGUCAUCAAGCCAUCCUUUACAUCAGCAAUAUAUGCACAUCGAUGUGACUUUGGCCCAAAUCAUGAAUUCUGGAUUGGUUUACCUGCAUUUUGAGAUAUGAAGAAACUGUUAUCAAAACUGUCUACAUACCAUGUUUGCGUUGGCAAUUAUGAAGACAGAUUUGCAGAUUUGAUUCCAGUUGGUGCAGGCAUAAGUGAAUGAGCUAUUUCAACAAUAUCUGCCUAAUAAUUUAACAUGUAAUAAAGUACAUGAGUAGAAAUUAUGGAAAUUAAAAUCCAAUAUACAGUUCACUUCAUGGAUAUCUAAAAUAUCUGUUAAUGAAGUUAUAUUAAGAUUGU